rnacentral:tRNA from 7 species
UCCCGGGUCGACUAAGGGCAAGUCAGCGGUUUUUGGUGCCGUCGAUGGGGGUUCGAAUCCCUCCCCGGGAG